rnacentral:misc_RNA from 1 species
CCCUUUGAGCUGCCUUGUUAUAGGAAACAGAGGGCUUGGCAAAAUUAAGAGGUAGAUGUUGAAUCAUCUGUCUUUGUGGUGCUUGUUUGUGUUUAUUUUAUCUGUUUGUUUCCAUGAAAAUCAUUUCUUGUGAAAUCGCGUUGCUUGCUCUACUUUGUCUAAAGUAUGGGGUUUCUGAGGCUUUGAUGUGAUGGGUAUUUGAACGUUCUGAUUAGUUGAACUUUGGAUUAUGAAGCCAAAUAAGCUAUGUUUCCAGUUCUACUACAUAAUCCAGCCAAAAAAGAAAUGGACUUGUUAUCAGUUUUCUUAUUGGAAUGAUUUGGAAAAUUCUGUUCAAACUAAGAAUUUCUGUACAAAGAGGUCGUGCCUAAAAUGAACUUGUGGGUUAUAAUUCAUUUGAAUAAUGAUUUCAGAUUUUAG